CGAGCGUCAAACCCUAGCCUCAUUUCCCCAUCCCUCCCGAUCCACUCGCUCACGACGGCCACAGAGACGGCGCCAGCGGCGACCGAAACGGGCCGGCCAUGGCGGCACGGUAGCUGUCCUCGCCGGAGCAGCGCAUAACAAACUGAAUCCAGUGCGCUCCUCCGGCGAGCAUGGCUCCGGUGUCACGCGCAUGGCGCCCUGUACAGUGGACGGGAGGUCAUUUCGCCGGCUGCUGCCGGCACUGGCAUUCGACGGCGACGGCGACCUCCAAGGUGUGGAGGCCAGGCGACGCGCGCGUGCGUGAGCGCGGCAGCGGCAGCUGCUGCUUCAUUCCGCGCGCCACCUCGGAGGGCGGCGGCGUUCCGGCCAUGGCAUGCACGCACCGCGGCGGCCGUGCGGACCCUGAAGGCCGGCAUCAUCUAGGUAAACUUUAUGAAAUUUGAGUUUAGAUGAACCUUAUAUGCAGAGUAAAAAAACCUGGAGGGAGUACAUUUCAUUUUACUCAUGGUUUGUCUAAGUUGGUAGAAAGAAUCAAAGAAACGUCUUUCCAGCGGCUGUACCGUUGCAUGCCUUCAUGUCAUUUCUUGUGUCACCUAUUUCCUGCCGUGAGCAUGCUAGUAGAAUUUUCUAAUCCAUCUCUCUCUCUCUUACCCGUUGCUAGUAGCCUAGUAGUACUACACUCACGUGAGCAUGGCAGAGCUAUCUCUCUCUUUCUCUUUACUGUUGCUAGUCCUACUAAUCACUAAUUACGUGAGCAUGCGGGAACUUUCUACACAGAGGUCACGUCGUCAGUUCGUACAAGCCUGUCCAGAGAGCAUGCUGCCACAUUGGCCGCGAAUCCCUGCAGUACGGACCGUUUGAUACACUAAUCCAACGGUGUAGUUGCAGCCACUUGUCUUCUAGCUAAUGACAUUAAAUGUGAGCCAUUGGAUAAAUAAGAUCCAACGGUCCAUAUGAGUUGACAUUCAUACAUCUAUACUACUGGAGCAUCAAUCCUAGCCACUGGUUUUCCAAAUCUAACGGCUGAGAUUAGAGGGAUUCGUAAUGAACAAUAGCAUGCAGCUGAAUCUACUGGGUUCUGGAACUAUCGCAUGGUACCUCCUAGAAAAGAAGACCUAUGCCUCUUCUGCCAUGUUGUAAUUGUCAGGUUGUGAACUUGUGAUGAGUAAAAAAUAAACGUAGGUUGUGAGUCCAUGCGGGAGGAGAAAUAGAAGCUGAAGUAAACAAUUUGUGGGUUCCACCAUGUACAUCUUUCUUUAUAUUCUUAUAGAAAAAGGUGACAACAGGCAGUGGUUGUAUUGUAGCAAUUAGUAAAUUUCUAAACUUCAUUUUGCGCACAUCAACAAUAUAUAUUUUUUUGCCC